UGGGGAAUCUUGGACAAUGGGCGAAAGCCUGAUCCAGCCAUGCCGCGUGAGUGACGAAGGCCUUCGGGUUGUAAAGCUCUUUUGGCGGGGACGAUAAUGACGGUACCCGCAGAAUAAGCCCCGGCUAACUUCGUGCCAGCAGCCGCGGUAAUACGAAGGGGGCUAGCGUUGUUCGGAAUUACUGGGCGUAAAGCGCACGUAGGCGGAUUUGUAAGUCAGGGGUGAAAUCCCGGGGCUCAACCUCGGAACUGCCUUUGAUACUGCAAGUCUCGAGUCCGGAAGAGGUGAGUGGAAUUCCUAGUGUAGAGGUGGAAUUCGUAGAUAUUAGGAAGAACACCAGUGGCGAAGGCGGCUCACUGGUCCGGUACUGACGCUGAGGUGCGAAAGCGCGGGGAGCAAACAGGAUUAGAUACCCGCGUAGUCCCUGAGCGGGCUGGCAAGGCGCAU
rnacentral:rRNA from 1 species